rnacentral:rRNA from 1 species
AACACAUGCAAGUCGAACGGACUCUUUCGAGAGUUAGUGGCGGACGGGUGAGUAACGCGUGAGGAUCUGCCGACAGGCCGGGGACAACAUUAGGAAACUGAUGCUAACACCCGAUGUGCCGAGAGGUGAAAUAUUUAUAGCCUGUCGAUGAGCUCGCGUCUGAUUAGCUAGUUGGUUAGGUAAUGGCUGACCAAGGCGACGAUCAGUAACUGGUCUGAGAGGAUGACCAGUCACACUGGGACUGAGACACGGCCCAGACUCCUACGGGAGGCAGCAGUGGGGAAUUUUCCGCAAUGGGCGCAAGCCUGACGGAGCAAUACCGCGUGAGGGAGGACGGCUCUUGGGUUGUAAACCUCUUUUCUUUGGGAAGAAAACAAUGACGGUACCAGAGGAAUCAGCAUCGGCUAACUCCGUGCCAGCAGCCGCGGUAAUACGGAGGAUGCAAGCGUUAUCCGGAAUUAUUGGGCGUAAAGCGUCCGUAGGUGGUUUUGAAAGUCUAUUGUCAAAGAGCGGGGCUUAACCUCGUAAAGGCAGUAGAAACUAUGAGACUAGAGUUUGGUAGGGGUCAGGGGAAUUCCCAGUGUAGCGGUGAAAUGCGUAGAUAUUGGGAAGAACACCAGCGGCGAAAGCGCCUGACUGGGCCUGAACUGACACUGAUGGACGAAAGCUAGGGGAGCGAAAGGGAUUAGAUACCC